rnacentral:rRNA from 1 species
UACGUAGGCAGCAAGCGUUGUUCGGAGUUACUGGGCGUAAAGGGUGCGUAGGCGGCUCGAUAAGUAUGGUGUGAAAUCUCCCGGCUUAACUGGGAGGGUGCGCUAUAGACUGCCGGGCUAGAGGGUGGGAGAGGAAAGUGGAAUUCCUGGUGUAGCGGUGAAAUGCGUAGAUAUCAGGAGGAACACCGGUGGUGUAAACGGCUUUCUGGACCACUUCUGACGCUGAGGCACGAAAGCGUGGGUAGCAAACAGG